CCUGUGCGUCCACUGCCUAUAGCGCCACGUCCUGUGGCAUCGGCUGUAUUAGCACGUCCUGUGCG
rnacentral:sRNA from 1 species